UACGUAGGUGGCGAGCGUUGUCCGGAAUUAUUGGGCGUAAAGCGCGCGUAGGCGGGAUAUUAAGUCUAUUCUAAAAGUGCGGGGCUCAACUCCGUGAUGGGAUGGAAACUAAUAUUCUUGAGUACCGGAGAGGAAAGCGGAAUUCCCAGUGUAGCGGUGAAAUGCGUAGAUAUUGGGAGGAACACCAGUGGCGAAGGCGGCUUUCUGGACGGUGUCUGACGCUGAGGCGCGAAAGCCAGGGGAGCGAACGGG
rnacentral:rRNA from 1 species